UCUGGAAAGGCGUGCGAUACAGGGUGACAGCCCCGUACACAAAAAUGCACAUAUUGUGAGCUUGAUGAGUAGGGCGGGACACGUGGUAUCCUGUCUGAAUAUGGGGGGACCAUCCUCCAAGGCUAAAUACUCCUGACUGACCGAUAGUGAACCAGUACCGUGAGGGAAAGGCGAAAAGAACCCCGGCGAGGGGAGUGAAAAAGAACCUGAAACCGUGUACGUACAAGCAGUGGGAGCACGCUUAGGCGUGUGACUGCGUACCUUUUGUAUAAUGGGUCAGCGACUUAUAUUCUGUAGCAAGGUUAACCGAAUAGGGGAGCCGAAGGGAAACCGAGUCUUAACUGGGCGUUAAGUUGCAGGGUAUAGACCCGAAACCCGGUGAUCUAGCCAUGGGCAGGUUGAAGGUUGGGUAACACUAACUGGAGGACCGAACCGACUAAUGUUGAAAAAUUAGCGGAUGACUUGUGGCUGGGGGUGAAAGGCCAAUCAAACCGGGAGAUAGCUGGUUCUCCCCGAAAGCUAUUUAGGUAGCGCCUCGUGAAUUCAUCUCCGGGGGUAGAGCACUGUUUCGGCAAGGGGGUCAUCCCGACUUACCAACCCGAUGCAAACUGCGAAUACCGGAGAAUGUUAUCACGGGAGACACACGGCGGGUGCUAACGUCCGUCGUGAAGAGGGAAACAACCCAGACCGCCAGCUAAGGUCCCAAAGUCAUGGUUAAGUGGGAAACGAUGUGGGAAGGCCCAGACAGCCAGGAUGUUGGCUUAGAAGCAGCCAUCAUUUAAAGAAAGCGUAAUAGCUCACUGGUCGAGUCGGCCUGCGCGGAAGAUGUAACGGGGCUAAACCAUGCACCGAAGCUGCGGCAGCGACGCUUAUGCGUUGUUGGGUAGGGGAGCGUUCUGUAAGCCUGCGAAGGUGUGCUGUGAGGCAUGCUGGAGGUAUCAGAAGUGCGAAUGCUGACAUAAGUAACGAUAAAGCGGGUGAAAAGCCCGCUCGCCGGAAGACCAAGGGUUCCUGUCCAACGUUAAUCGGGGCAGGGUGAGUCGACCCCUAAGGCGAGGCCGAAAGGCGUAGUCGAUGGGAAACAGGUUAAUAUUCCUGUACUUGGUGUUACUGCGAAGGGGGGACGGAGAAGGCUAUGUUGGCCGGGCGACGGUUGUCCCGGUUUAAGCGUGUAGGCUGGUUUUCCAGGCAAAUCCGGAAAAUCAAGGCUGAGGCGUGAUGACGAGGCACUACGGUGCUGAAGCAACAAAUGCCCUGCUUCCAGGAAAAGCCUCUAAGCAUCAGGUAACAUCAAAUCGUACCCCAAACCGACACAGGUGGUCAGGUAGAGAAUACCAAGGCGCUUGAGAGAACUCGGGUGAAGGAACUAGGCAAAAUGGUGCCGUAACUUCGGGAGAAGGCACGCUGAUAUGUAGGUGAAGUCCCUUGCGGAUGGAGCUGAAAUCAGUCGAAGAUACCAGCUGGCUGCAACUGUUUAUUAAAAACACAGCACUGUGCAAACACGAAAGUGGACGUAUACGGUGUGACGCCUGCCCGGUGCCGGAAGGUUAAUUGAUGGGGUCAGCGCAAGCGAAGCUCUUGAUCGAAGCCCCGGUAAACGGCGGCCGUAACUAUAACGGUCCUAAGGUAGCGAAAUUCCUUGUCGGGUAAGUUCCGACCUGCACGAAUGGCGUAAUGAUGGCCAGGCUGUCUCCACCCGAGACUCAGUGAAAUUGAACUCGCUGUGAAGAUGCAGUGUACCCGCGGCAAGACGGAAAGACCCCGUGAACCUUUACUAUAGCUUGACACUGAACAUUGAGCCUUGAUGUGUAGGAUAGGUGGGAGGCUUUGAAGUGUGGACGCCAGUCUGCAUGGAGCCGGCCUUGAAAUACCACCCUUUAAUGUUUGAUGUUCUAACGUGGACCCGUGAUCCGGGUUGCGGACAGUGUCUGGUGGGUAGUUUGACUGGGGCGGUCUCCUCCUAAAGAGUAACGGAGGAGCACGAAGGUUGGCUAAUCCUGGUCGGACAUCAGGAGGUUAGUGCAAUGGCAUAAGCCAGCUUGACUGCGAGCGUGACGGCGCGAGCAGGUGCGAAAGCAGGUCAUAGUGAUCCGGUGGUUCUGAAUGGAAGGGCCAUCGCUCAACGGAUAAAAGGUACUCCGGGGAUAACAGGCUGAUACCGCCCAAGAGUUCAUAUCGACGGCGGUGUUUGGCACCUCGAUGUCGGCUCAUCACAUCCUGGGGCUGAAGUAGGUCCCAAGGGUAUGGCUGUUCGCCAUUUAAAGUGGUACGCGAGCUGGGUUUAGAACGUCGUGAGACAGUUC
rnacentral:rRNA from 1 species